rnacentral:rRNA from 1 species
GAUGAACGCUGGCGGCGUGCCUAAUACAUGCAAGUCGAGCGAACAGACGAGGAGCUUGCUCCUCUCACGUUAGCGGCGGACGGGUGAGUAACACGUGGAUACCCUCCCUAUAUGACUGGGAUAAUUUCGGGACUCCGGAGCUAAUCCCGGAAAAUCUAUUGAAACGUAUGGUUGAAUAGUGAAAGACGGUUUUGCUGCCACUUAUCGAUGGAUCCGCGCAGCAUUAGUUAGUUGGUAAGGUAAAGGCGUACCAAGGCAACGAUGCGUAGCCGACCUGAGGGAGUGAUCGGCCACACUGGAACGGAGACACGGUCCUGACGCCUACGAGAUGGAGCAGUAGGGUAUGGGCCGCAAUAGGAGAAAACCUGACAGAGCAACGCCGCGCGAGUUAUAGAGGUCCUCGGAUCGUAAAACUCUGUUAUUAGGGAUGAACAAAUGUGUAAGAAAAUAUGCACGUCUUGACGGUACCUAAUCAGAAAGCCACGGCUAACUACGUG